GAUGAACGCUGGCGGCGUGCCUAAUACAUGCAAGUCGAGCGAACAGAUGAGGAGCUUGCUCCUCUGACGUUAGCGGCGGACGGGUGAGUAACACGUGGUUAGCCUACCUAUAAGACUGGGAUAACUUCGGGAAACCGGAGCUAAUACCGGAUAAUAUAUUGAACCGCAUGGUUCAAUAGUGAAAGACGGUUUUGCUGUCACUUAUAGAUGGAUCCGCGCCGCAUUAGCAAGUUGGUAAGGUAACGGCUUACCAAGGCAACGAUGCGUAGCCGACCUGAGAGGGUGAUCGGCCACACUGGAACUGAGACACGGUCCAGACUCCUACGGGAGGCAGCAGUAGGGAAUCUUCCGCAAUGGGCGAAAGCCUGACGGAGCAACGCCGCGUGAGUGAUGAAGGUCUUCGGAUCGUAAAACUCUGUUAUUAGGGAAGAACAAAUGUGUAAGUAACUAUGCACGUCUUGACGGUACCUAAUCAGAAAGCCACGGCUAACUACGUG
rnacentral:rRNA from 1 species